UACGAAGGGUGCAAGCGUUGUCCGGAUUCACUGGGUGUAAAGGGUGCUCAGGCGGGCUCUUAAGUCAAAGGUGAAAUCUCUCGGCUUAACCGAGAAAUUGCCUUUGAUACUGAGAGCCUUGAGUACGGGAGAGGGAGAUGGAAUUCCAGGUGUAGCGGUGAAAUGCGUAGAUAUCUGGAGGAACACCGGAGGCGAAGGCGGUCUCCUGGCCCGUUACUGACGCUCAGGCACGAAAGCGUGGGGAGCAAACAGG
rnacentral:rRNA from 1 species